rnacentral:rRNA from 1 species
AACGAACGCUGGCGGCAGGCCUAAUACAUGCAAGUUGAACGUGAUCAACACUUCGGUGUUGUGAAAGUAGCGCACGGGUGAGUAACACGUGGGAAUCUACCCUUUGGUACGGAACAACAGUUGGAAACGACUGCUAAUACCGUAUAAUGACUCCGGUCCAAAGAUUUAUCGCCAAAGGAUGAGCCCGCGUCUGAUUAGCUAGUUGGUAGGGUAAAAGCCUACCAAGGCGACGAUCAGUAGCUGGUUUGAGAGGAUGAUCAGCCACACUGGGACUGAGACACGGCCCAGACUCCUACGGGAGGCAGCAGUAAGGAAUAUUGGACAAUGGGCGAAAGCCUGAUCCAGCCAUGCCGCGUGAGUGAAGAAGGCCCUAGGGUUGUAAAGCUCUUUUAAUCGUGAAGAUAAUGACGGUAGCGAUAGAAAAAGCUCCGGCUAACUCCGUGCCAGCCGCCGCCGUAACAC